CCUACGGGAGGCAGCAGUGGGGAAUACUGCACAAUGGGCGCAAGCCUGAUGCAGCAACGCCGCGUGAGGGACGACGGCCUUCGGGUUGUAAACCUCUUUUAGUAGGGAAGAAGCGAAAGUGACGGUACCUGCAGAAAAAGCACCGGCUAACUACGUGCCAGCAGCCGCGGUAAUACGUAGGGUGCAAGCGUUAUCCGGAAUUAUUGGGCGUAAAGAGCUCGUAGGCGGUUUGUCGCGUCUGCUGUGAAAACUGGAGGCUCAACCUCCAGCCUGCAGUGGGUACGGGCAAACUAGAGUGCGGUAGGGGAGAUUGGAAUUCCUGGUGUAGCGGUGGAAUGCGCAGAUAUCAGGAGGAACACCGAUGGCGAAGGCAGAUCUCUGGGCCGUAACUGACGCUGAGGAGCGAAAGCAUGGGGAGCGAACAGGAUUAGAUACCCUGGUAGUCCAUGCCGUAAACGUUGGGCGCUAGAUGUGGGGACCAUUCCACGGUUUCCGUGUCGCNGCUACGACAUAGACGCCCGCCGUCGGGAGGUACGGCCGCGACGGACGUAAACGUUAAAACGGUAAAGUUAGACGGACGUGAGACGUAGCCGAACGGACGACCGACGAGGGAGGUAGG
rnacentral:rRNA from 1 species